CAAAACAAUGUCAUAAGAUUCUGCUGAAACAGUAGCCAGUAUGAGGGUCCGGACAGCUUUCUUAGGCAGGCACAGAGAUUAGCCACGGUUUACGACAUAUUAUUACCACAGGAGACAGGAAAGGGCCUAUCUUCAGUCAGAAGACUAGGGAAAGUCUAAAAGCUGAAAAGAGAAACAAAGGGAUUCGUCCUCUUAUUUAAAUAGCAUUGAAUCAGUUUGGCCACCAUUUCAGAGUUAGAAAAAUUCUGCCUCUGGAUGAGAGACAAAGCUACAAAUGCCCCCCAUUUUGGUCCAAGACCUUUGUUUACGGACGCUCAGAUUAGGAGCUUUUUUUUUUCCCCCUGUAACAUCACAAAGCAAUUUUAUACUCGUUUCUGGGUUUGUCUCCUCUUCUGGCCUGGGGCCUCCUUUCGAGGCCAGAGACGAGUCUAGCAGGUGCUUACUAAGUGGUUUUUGUGAAUGAAUGAUUCAUUUGCAACCUCUCCUUUGAGACUGGUCCUUUUAACUCCACCUUUUACGGAUGGGAAACUGAGGCCAGAGAGGAUCGCCCUGCAGGAGAGCAAGUAAGGGACGGCUCUAGUCGGGUCGGCCAUCCAAGAUCCCCUCCACUCUCCUCUCGGCAGGACCUAAGGGACAGGCGCCCCGCUAAAGCCUCCGCAAACCUGGGAAAGGGCUGAGCCACAGAAGCAGCACCCGGACCGGUUUACCCGGUUCCAGGAACCUGGGGCGAGGUCCGCGCGUCCGAGCCGGGAAGGCGCAGGCCUAGGCCAGGCGGGGCGGGGCCUCGAUCUCCGCCAGGAAAUGGGAGUCCUAGGCGGGGAGGUCGAGGCUGCUGAAGCUCCCCACGUGUCCAGAGGAGCCCAGAAGCCCACACCGGUAUCCACGGGGAACCAGAGCCCCUGCAGCAGUGUCUCGUGGCGCUCGGAUCCACACACGUGUGCUCAGGGGGGUCCACA